rnacentral:rRNA from 1 species
GACGAACGCUGGCGGCAUGCCUAACACAUGCAAGUCGAACGGAGAUUAUUUCGGUAAUCUUAGUGGCGAACGGGUGAGUAACGCGUGGGCAACCUGCCCUCUAGAUGGGGACAACAUCCCGAAAGGGGUGCUAAUACCGAAUGUGACAGCAAUCUCGCAUGAGGAUGCUGUGAAAGAUGGCCUCUAUUUAUAAGCUAUCGCUAGAGGAUGGGCCUGCGUUUGAUUAGCUAGUUGGUGGGGUAACGGCCUACCAAGGCGAUGAUCAGUAGCCGGUCUGAGAGGAUGAACGGCCACAUUGGGACUGAGACACGGCCCAGACUCCUACGGGAGGCAGCAGUGGGGAAUCUUCCGCAAUGGGCGAAAGCCUGACGGAGCAAUGCCGCGUGAGUGAUGAAGGAAUUCGUUCCGUAAAGCUCUUUUGUUUAUGACGAAUGUGCAGAUUGUGAACAAUGAUCUGUAAUGACGGUAGUAAACGAAUAAGCCACGGCUAACUACGUG